rnacentral:rRNA from 1 species
AGAGUUUGAUCCUGGCUCAGAUUGAACGCUGGCGGCAUGCCUUACACAUGCAAGUCGAACGGUAACAGGUCUUCGGAUGCUGACGAGUGGCGAACGGGUGAGUAAUACAUCGGAACGUGCCCGAUCGUGGGGGAUAACGAGGCGAAAGCUUUGCUAAUACCGCAUACGAUCUACGGAUGAAAGCGGGGGAUCUUCGGACCUCGCGCGGACGGAGCGGCCGAUGGCAGAUUAGGUAGUUGGUGGGAUAAAAGCUUACCAAGCCGACGAUCUGUAGCUGGUCUGAGAGGAUGAUCAGCCACACUGGGACUGAGACACGGCCCAGACUCCUACGGGAGGCAGCAGUGGGGAAUUUUGGACAAUGGGCGAAAGCCUGAUCCAGCCAUGCCGCGUGCAGGAUGAAGGCCUUCGGGUUGUAAACUGCUUUUGUACGGAACGAAAAGCCUCUUUCUAAUAAAGAGGGGUCAUGACGGUACCGUAAGAAUAAGCACCGGCUAACUACGUGCCAGCAGCCGCGGUAAUACGUAGGGUGCAAGCGUUGAUCGGAAUUACUGGGCGUAAAGCGUGCGCAGGCGGUUUUGUAAGACAGAGGUGAAAUCCCCGGGCUCAACCUGGGAACUGCCUUUGUGACUGCAAGGCUGGAGUGCGGCAGAGGGGGAUGGAAUUCCGCGUGUAGCAGUGAAAUGCGUAGAUAUGCGGAGGA